ACGGAAGGCAGCAGUGAGGAAUAUUGGUCAAUGGGCGGAAGCCUGAACCAGCCAAGUCGCGUGAAGGAAGACGGUAUUAUGUAUUGUAAACUUCUUUAGCAGUAGAGCAAUAAGCGCCACGUGUGGCGUGAUGAGAGUAUACUGAGAAUAAGCAUCGGCUAAUUCCGUGCCAGCAGCCGCGGUAAUACGGAAGGUCCGGGCGUUAUCCGGAUUUAUUGGGUUUAAAGGGAGCGUAGGCCGUGCUUUAAGCGUGUUGUGAAAUGUAGGCGCCCAACGUCUGCACUGCAGCGCGAACUGGAGCACUUGAGUACGCAGGAAGUAGGCGGAAUUCGUCGUGUAGCGGUGAAAUGCUUAGAUAUGACGAAGAACUCCGAUUGGGAAGCCAGCUUACUGUAGCGCCACUGACGCUGAUGCUCGAAAGCGUGGGUAUCGAACAGGAUUAGAUACCCUGGUA
rnacentral:rRNA from 1 species